GAUGAAGAACGUAGCGAAAUGCGAUAAGUAAUGUGAAUUGCAGAAUUCAGUGAAUCAUCGAAUCUUUGAACGCACAUUGCGCCCGCCAGUAUUCUGGCGGGCAUGCCUGUUCGAGCGUCAUUUCAACCAUCAAGCCCCAGGCUUGUGUUGGAGCCCUGCGGCUGCCGCAGCCUCCCAAAACCAGUGGCGGGCUCGCUAUCACACCGAGUGCAGUAGUUUACUCUUCGCUCAGGGCGUGUGGCGGGUGCUAGCCGUAAAACCCCCAACUUCUCAAGGUUGACCUCGGAUCAGGUAGGAAUACCCGCUGAACUUAAGCAUAUCAAUAAGCGGGGA
rnacentral:misc_RNA from 1 species